UACGGAGGGUGCAAACGUUGCUCGGAAUCAUUGGGCGUAAAGCGCACGUAGGCGGUCCAGCAAGUCGGGUGUGAAAGCCCUCGGCUUAACCGGGGAAGUGCAUUCGAAACUACUGGACUUGAGUACUGAAGAGGAUCGCGGAAUUCCCGGUGUAGAGGUGAAAUUCGUAGAUAUCGGGAGGAACACCAGUGGCGAAGGCGGCGAUCUGGGCAGAUACUGACGCUGAGGUGCGAAAGCGUGGGGAGCAAACAGG
rnacentral:rRNA from 1 species